CCAGUGAGAUGCCAGCCUGCGUGUGAAGAUCCUACAGCAGAAGUGCAUAGCCAGUGACACAAGACGUGCGAAUGAAAACUAGAUGUGACCAUCCAGAAAAAGCAUAGACAAAAAAAUGCAGUCUUAGUACUGGGAUGUUUGAGAUGGGGUCUAUCUACAUGUCUCUAGCUGUCCCUAUCAGGACAGCAUCUGGUGUGGCCUGCAGAGUUGAUUCCUGUACUUUUUUUUUUUUGUGGGCUGUAUGUAAAUGGAUUGUUUUGACAAUCCAUUCGACAGUGUUCUCUUCUGUGAAGGUCAUAGGUGAGCUGAUUGACAGACACAGCUGUACAGACUGAAUGCAAUCCUGACUAUAAAGCUGCAGUUCAUCAUUAUGAGCUAUUUCCUUAUUCUGGCAGUGAUUGAAAUAAAAUGGGGAGUAUUGAAAUAAAAAACAUUCAAUUGC
rnacentral:lncRNA from 1 species